GGUCCAAACUGAGUCCUGCCACCGCCUCCCCAUUAACCUGUAGGAUUUCAUCACCAACGCCCAGCAGGCCCCUCCACCCUGCCAUCACCGACCUUCUCGACGUAUACACCUGGUCUGCAGUGAGGGUGUCCUCUGUAUUCGAAUGGUAGGCUGCGGUCUCCGUGUGGGGCUCGGUGAGGCAGAGCUUGCCCGUUGGAUGGUGGGGAGACUGAGCUGUUCCAUGCUGCUGGAGCGACCCCCCUUCACCAGUCUGCCAACGCUAUUCAGCCCGAUGGAGGAAAAGAAACGACGCAGGAAAAGUUUUGGCCUCCCAUCAAAUUUUCUAUCUGCUCCAGAAGAUCAGAAGUUCCUUCACUGUUAGCAUGCUGUCUGCACUGAGAUACAUGCAUUUAAAGGAAAGAACAUAUAUGCUUAUGUAUGCUGAAGUAAACUACAGCCAAAAAAAAUAACUUUGUAUUCUCAUAGAUGUAGGAUGUAUAUAUGAAGAAAUAUACUCCAAAUUGUUGUUCAGAAAACUGAAAAAAAAAAUAAAGAAAAUAGUAACCUGCAGUGCA